GAUGCUAAUACCGGAUAACAACAGAUGAUGCCUAUCAACUGUUUAAAAGAUGGUUCUGCUAUCACUCUUGGAUGGACCUGCGGUGCAUUAGCUAGUUGGUAGGGUAACGGCCUACCAAGGCGAUGAUGCAUAGCCGAGUUGAGAGACUGAUCGGCCACAUUGGGACUGAGACACGGCCCAAACUCCUACGGGAGCAGCAGCA
rnacentral:rRNA from 1 species